rnacentral:rRNA from 1 species
UGGGGAAUAUUGGACAAUGGGGGAAACCCUGAUCCAGCGAUGCCGCGUGAGUGACGAAGGCCUUAGGGUUGUAAAGCUCUUUUGGCGGGGAAGAUAAUGACGGUACCCGCAGAAUAAGCUCCGGCUAACUUCGUGCCAGCAGCCGCGGUAAUACGAAGGGAGCUAGCGUUGUUCGGAAUCACUGGGCGUAAAGCGCACGUAGGUGGGCAGUUAAGUCAGGGGUGAAAGCCCGAGGCUCAACCUCGGAAUUGCCUCUGAUACUGGCUGUCUAGAGUUCGAGAGAGGUGAGUGGAAUUCCUAGUGUAGAGGUGAAAUUCGUAGAUAUUAGGAAGAACACCGGUGGCGAAGGCGGCUCACUGGCUCGAUACUGACACUGAGGUGCGAAAGCGUGGGGAGCAAACAGGAUUAGAUACCCCAGUAGUCCCUGAGCGGGCUGGCAAGGCGCAU